GUGAAACAUUAAGGUGGUACCUAACACUACAGGGAGAUAACUCUGUAAAGUCAGCUUAACGUUUUAAUUACGUUGUGUUGUAUAGGGAAUAUUAAGCUUCUUAAUGAUCAAAAUUGGUGUUUGUCAAACUGCUAUAUAACCAGUGUAUUUUUUCUGACAAAACGGUUGGUUCAAAAUUUUUGAAAUUUUUAUAUUUUUUUUAAAGGGUCAAAGUAAAUACUUUGUCAAAAUUUAAUUAAAAUUAAACGAGCCAAAUUAAUUUUAGUAAAAGUGUUAGGUACCACCUUAA
rnacentral:lncRNA from 1 species